GGGGAAUAUUGCACAAUGGGCGCAAGCCUGAUGCAGCAACGCCGCGUGAGGGAUGACGGCCUUCGGGUUGUAAACCUCUUUUAGCAGGGAAGAAGCGAAAGUGACGGUACCUGCAGAAAAAGCGCCGGCUAACUACGUGCCAGCAGCCGCGGUAAUACGUAGGGCGCAAGCGUUAUCCGGAAUUAUUGGGCGUAAAGAGCUCGUAGGCGGUUUGUCGCGUCUGCUGUGAAAUCCCGAGGCUCAACCUCGGGUCUGCAGUGGGUACGGGCAGACUAGAGUGCGGUAGGGGAGAUUGGAAUUCCUGGUGUAGCGGUGGAAUGCGCAGAUAUCAGGAGGAACACCGAUGGCGAAGGCAGAUCUCUGGGCCGUAACUGACGCUGAGGAGCGAAACGGGUGGGGAGCAAACAGGCUUAGAUACCCUGGUAGUCCACCCCGCUAAACGUUGGGAACCUAGUUGUGGGGUCCAUUCCACGGAUUCCGUGACGCAGCUAACGCAUUAAGUUCCCCGCCUGGGGAGUACGGCCGCAAGG
rnacentral:rRNA from 1 species